AAUCAACGCUGGCGGCGUGCCUAACACAUGCAAGUCGAGCGAGAAAAGGGGGGCAACUCCCUGAGUACAGCGGCGCACGGGUGAGUAACACGUGGGUAAUCUGCCCUGGAGUGGGGAAUAACACCGGGAAACCGGUGCUAAUACCGCAUACGAUCACGAGGUCUGCGGAUUUUGUGAUGAAAGGAGCAAUUCGCUCCAGGAGGAGCCCGCGGCUGAUUAGCUAGUUGGUGAGGUAAUGGCUCACCAAGGCUACGAUCAGUAUCCGGUCUGAGAGGACGGUCGGACACACUGGAACUGAGACACGGUCCAGACUCCUACGGGAGGCAGCAGUGGGGAAUUUUUGGCAAUGGGGGCAACCCUGACCAAGCAACGCCGCGUGGGUGAUGAAGUCUCUUGGGACGUAAAACCCUUUCGACGGGGAAGAAACCGCAAGGUUGACGGUACCCGUAGAAGAAGCCCCGGCUAACUCCGUGC
rnacentral:rRNA from 1 species